UGGCUCAGAACGAACGCUGGCGGCAGGCUUAACACAUGCAAGUCGAACGCCCCGCAAGGGGAGUGGCAGACGGGUGAGUAACACGUGGGAACGUGCCCAAAGGUUCGGAAUAUUCCCGGGAAACUGGGAGCAAUACCGAAUGUGUCCGCAAGGAGAAAGAUUUAUCGCCUUUGGAUCGGCCCGCGUCGGAUUAGCUAGUUGGUGGGUUAAAAGCCUACCAAGGCAAAGAUCAGUAGCUGGUCUGAGAGGAUGAUCAGCCACAUUUUUCCUGAGACACGGGACNAACUCCUACGG
rnacentral:rRNA from 1 species